AGUUCUGUAAUUGUUUGUGUGAUCACUGUAGAAGGUUGUGACGGAACCAAAUCAUCUCUGCUACAUAGUUGCAUUUCUCCAGUUGCUAAAUAUGUUAAUGUGGUGAUUUCUUCUAUUUCUGGCGCGAUCUAAUGUGCACUUGGAUGCUCUGCUGGCGGAGUUUCUUUACCUUAACCCGGCACUGUUCCACAGAUCUAUUAAACCCCCUUUCCCUGAGUUGUUUGCUAAACAAUGAAAAUAUCUUGCUGUUCAGGAGUUUUCGAAAGUUGGGAUGUAAUAGGAAUGUGCACGAAUGUUCAAAUAUUCGAUCCGCAAUAACUAUUCAAAAAUUAAAAACCCUGCAUGAUCUAAUGUGUUGUGUCCUAUUAACGCACUGUCAUUCAAUUCAAUGUAAUUUUAUUUUAUAGCGCUUUUACAAUUUGCAUUGCAUCAAAGCAGCUAUACAAGAAAACCAAAACCAAGAUAAUCAAAAGUUGAACACACACACACAAAACAAUACAAUUAAAAAAUCUGAUAAACCUUAAAAGUAUGGAAAUUGUCAUGCAUUGCAACACAUUUCUUCUCACUUUUCGUUUUUUGUCCAUUUUCUCUGCUGCUAAAGAAACUCUUAAGUCUCUUAAAAGUCCUCCUCGCUACUCCUAAAAUGUUUGAUUUUAAGAGCUCUUUUAAGGGUUAAGGCUCUUUAUGAAUACAUUUUUUCUUUACUAUAUUUUCUAUAAUUUUAAGUGGAAACGACCACAUUUCUAAGAAUUUUCUAAGAAUUUGUCACUAGGUACGGUGGCCUACUAGUGCACAUGACAACGAAAUUUAAAAAGCAAAUAUAAGUUCACAACACAACGCAAUCAAGCCACAACACAACGGAAUCGAGUCACAACACAACGGAAUAGAGCCACAACACAACGGAAUAGAGCCACAACACAACGGAAUCGAGUCACAACGCAACGGAAAUGCUCCCGACCACUAGGGGGCACUUUAGGCAUGAUAAAUUAGGUCAUGCCGGGUAGGAGGUGCGCGUUUUGCUGGGGUUUGUUUUAGUGGUUUUGGUAGCCUGUUUUGCUUGUGUAAAGCAUUUAAAAGGAAAGUGUGCUCUACUGUGGAAAAACUGAAUGUCAAUGGCAAACAAUCUCAUAUGAACACAUUUGCACAGCGCUUUUGAAUGCUUGAUUUUGGCUAGUCAUGACAUUCUAAUGUAUGUUAUGGCCCUUUCACCAGACUUGGCAGUUGGACAGAGUUGCUGCGUUGCUGCUGUCUCUCAUAGUGAAAAUGUCUCUGGGCGGACGUUCAAGGUCACUAACCAGCCUGAAGUUGAUGUAUAUUAAUUUUUGCGGUAAUGACUAAUACUAAUGACGCUCAUUUUAGGCACAGUUUACUAUGACAUUUUGCGCGUAUAGUGUAUUUUAACUUGCAAAUCAACCCACUCUGUAUUCUUUAUUUAAAUCUCUGUAUUUGUCUUCUUUUUGUUAGGUCAUAUAACUUCGGGAAUUCCAUUAUUAAAACUAUGUUCUCCGUGUUUUGAGCUCACUAAAAUGUUGAUAGGUUAAAGCCAGCGUGGAUGCCGUUCACAAAAAGAGCGCUUGCGAAGAGUCGUGCCAGUGGAAGGAUUUUGGGCACCGCUUGCGCACCACCUCCGUGCCGCCAACGAAACCCUCGCGUUUUGCAGCUUACCGCAUGUCUCCCACUGGAAAUGAGCUAUAGACAUUCACGACUGCCGCUCAAAACUAAUAACAGAGGAUAAUCCCGGUGCUUCGAAUCACCUUUACACAAACAUCAUAUAUACUGUAAAUACACCAUAAGAUUAUAUUUGCAUUGCAUUGUCGCCUAUUUGCAUUGGCAUUCUGCCUUAACAACCAGCAUAUGAGUUUAACUCCGCUGCUUCAAUAUAGCUAGCCUACAUAAUUUGGAUUGAAAGAAUGAAUUCCAAAACCUCGACCGACAUAUCGUAGACUCGUAGAGUUUUUUUUUAACUGUGCAUAUGUGUUUAAAUGAUUUUAAAUGCUAGAAACUGUAUUGUGAGCUAUACAUUGGUCGUAUUUACAAUAGGCUAAGCGUGUAAAUGAAAUGAUUUCUUUAACGUUGAAAUUAAAGAAUUAAAUGAAAAUAUGUUUUUCAUGCUUUGCUUCUAUUGUGUGUAUAUGAAUUGAAAUAAUCAAGACUUUAAAUGACUACGGCCAAAAACGAUUUAAUCAAAAAUUAAACGAUGAGCAUUGAAAGGAAAAUAUUUAGUUUUUUUAUUUUAUUGUAUUACUUAUUUUCUUUGGUAAAUGCAGAACAACAAACAGCAAUGAUGUGCAUUAAAAACAAAUUCCUUGAUUACACCAUCUUUAGCUAAAUAUUGUCAAACGGAAUACGGAAAUAAAUGGCUGUGUCCACAUUUAUUUAUGAUUGUAUGCAUUAUUUAACCUUUGGUUAAAUAAUUUAUAUUUACCAUGCCAUUUAUAUUUGCCUUAAUUUAUAUUUACCAUGGCCACCUGCCACUGACAUUAUGAAUGCACUUGAAACGAUGAGGAACAAGACAGGAAAAUUUUGAGAAAAUCUGACAAAAUACAACUGAAUAAGCUAUUAUUGGGAUAUUAUUAUAUAGAUGUUUUUAAAUGACAAACACGGCUGUUUUCAAGGAAAAUACACGUUUUAUUAUUUACAAAUGCAAAUUAUUUACAAAAAACACACAGCAGCAGGUGCAAUUACAACGAAACGUUUUCCUUCAUGAAAAAGGAUAGCCAUCUUAAGCUAAAUAUUGUCAAUCGAAAAUAAAAGCUAUAGUUUACGCUGUGUGUGUGUGUGUGUGUGUGUGUGUGUGUGUGUGUGUGUGUAAGGGUACAGAAGAACAUACAGUCUUGUUUUAAACAUGGCUAAGCAAUCAAAUUUCGAUCCAGCGAUCAAAACACGUUGUAUUUUUUAUUAUUAUUUUGAUUAAAGUACUUUUCAACUUUAAAGGUCUUUGCACAUACAGUCCGAAAUUGUCGUAUGCGUUUUUUCGUAUUUGGCUCUCGUUUGUACUGUGUCUCUGAAUGGUUAAAAAAGGCCACUCAAAAUGCUUGACGGAUGCGAAAAACGCAGAAAAUCGAACCUGGUCCGAAUUUUUUUAUGACGGACGAAAAUAUCGGAGGCAGUGUGUAAAUGUGAUUGACACAACGUGAGGUCGUAUUUAUUUUUUAACGUGCGGAAAUUUCGGACGCAAAUUUCGGACUCAAUGUGCAAUGGGCUUAAGUCUGCAUUUAGAUCCAGACAAUGCCACAGUCUCCUAUCUCAGUUUCAGUGAGCAAGCUCUGGACUUAAGUCUGCGUUCGUUUUUUUACUGUUACGAAUAAUUGAUCACUCUAUUAAAUAUUGUUUUCAUUACCAAUUUAUUUAACCUUUAUUAUGCAUGCAUAACCUCUAAAACAAUUAACGCAUAACCAAGUGUAAAUAAACGUGAGCAUUGCGGUUUUAUGACUAACGAAACGGGAAUAUAAUGCAAGCUUGCUCAUCUAUAUCAGUAAAUAGAUCAAUAGAUUUGUUGGUUUAGCAGAAAGUCCAGUCGUCAUCAGUAAUUUAAUGUGUUAAUGUGUAUAGUGGUCUUAAGCAGUCGUGUGCUGUUUUCUGACUAGAAUCCGCUCCAGUUGAAAGAAAAAGUCUUAGAAUGUUUGUCCUCGGCUUUAAUAAUCAGCGUGAAAAUCCUUAAUGCUCUCCCGGAUCUCUCUCCCGCUGCUGUCUGCACUGAACCAAGCACGGAAGUGCCGAAUGUGCCCAUAAAAAUAUAGAACAAUAAUAAGAACUUUGGUGCCCCCUAGUGGUCGGGAGCAUUUCCGUUGUGUUGUGGCUUUAUUCCGUUGUGUUGUGGCUUUAUUCCGUUGUGUUGUGACUCGAUUCCGUUGUGUUGUGGCUUUAUUCCGUUGUGUUGUAGCUUGAUUGCGUUGUGUUGUGAACUUAUAUUUGCUUUUUAAAUUUCGUUGUCAUGUGCACUAGUAGGCCACCAUAACUAGGAACGCAAGCACAGCAAAGAGGUUGAGGUAGCGAAGGCCCUUAGUCAUCAAAAGGACUCCAAAGAAAGGCAAAUGCAGCUUGAGUAUCUACGUAACAAAGGUAACUUUGCUCACAAUACCACUGUUAUUAAUACAGGCACAGGACAGAUGAUUCCACGGAAACUGCCUAAAAAGAACCUAGAUGGCGAGAGCUUAAUGCAUUGCAUAUAUUGCCAAGGACUCUUCCUAAAAAAGACUCUGUGGAGACAUGUGAAGGUUUGCAAAUUCAAGCCAUCUGACGUGAAGCCUAAACCUGGAAAAACCCGUGUGCAGGCUCUUUGUGGCUUUGCACAGCUUCGCCCACCAGGUAUGACUCACGGCCUUUGGAAACUGUUGAAUGCCAUGAACCAAGAUGAAGUGGCACUUGCAGCUAGAAAUGACUGGUGCAUUUUAGAGCUGGGGAAGCAUCUUUACAACAAGCAUGGCUCAAGAGUUAAGAUGCAUGAACAUAUUCGUCAAAAGAUAAGAGAGCUUGGAAGACUCCUAUAUGUGCAAGAGAGGUAAUACACCUUAAAUCUAUUAAAGAGCUCAUCCAUCCCAAAAACUUCAUGCAUACUGUUAAUGCAGUUAAAAGAACAGCUGGAUAUACUGAAGAGACUUCUGGGUAUCAAACAGCUAGUGUCGCUGUGAAACUUGGACACAAAAUCGCAAUGCUUGUUGACAGCCACUCUACCAUGAGUGGAGACAAAGACAAACAGCUUCCAACAACUGUAUCAGUACAGAUGGCCUGAAUACAUUUCCUCAUCAGCCCGGCGAACAUUUGAGGAAGCCAAGUGGAACUCCCCAUCUUUACUCCCAUUCACUGAAGAUGUUAAACGCCUUCAUGUAUAUUUUGACGAGCAAGAGAAAAUUUACUGAAAACUCUUGUCAACCGCCUUCGUCUCAGCAUUGGUCAAAAUUGGCCAAGAUAACAUUAACUCAGAUGAUGCUUUUUAAUCGAAGACGAGAAGGGGGAAGUGUCACAAAUGCCCUUGUCUGCAUACACCUCCAGCAGCCAGUCAUAGGCUCAUCCAGAUAUUAGCAAGGCCCUCUCAGAGUUGGAAAACAAACUGUGUCAGUACUUCAAGCGAAUAGAGAUCUGAGGCAAAAGAGGCAGAAAGGUUCCAGUACUCGUCACUCCUUCAAUGCAAGAGUCAAUCAACCUGCUAAUUACAAACCGGAGUAGGUGUGGAGUACAGAAUGAGAACUCUUUCCUGUUAAAGUAUGUGUGUGUGCGCGAGUUAGACAGUGAUUAACAAAACCAGCAAGUCCCCCCAGCUGUCACUGAAAUCUUACUUGCAAUAAAUCUUUCAGAAUGCUCUUGAUUACAUAUAGAGGCAUACUCUAUGCAUUCGUGAGGGUGGUGGUGCUUAAAUAUGGGUUGUCAACCUGGGACGGGUGAGUAGGCUGGAGGGGGGAAUCUGAGUAUACUCACUACAAAAAACUAGACUACACCACUGCUCAGCUCCCACGCUACCGACGGGGAUUCCCCACUGAGCACUACACUCUCACACAAAUUAUGUUCCAAUGCACAGCACUUAACCACAGAACUUUUCACUUUUAUUCGAAAUACCACUUCCCUCUGAGUGGAUGUGUCAAGAUUAUAGUCUGCAAAUUUUAUAUGUUGCAGGAGCGUAAGCAUCAUUACAAGGUACAAUCCAAAUCAACAGCCAGCGCUAAUUCUUCAAUCAAAGCCAAAGAAUCAAAGGGGGAGCACGAUUGAGAGCAACCGGGCUAAUAGGAGUACGCCCUAACCGAACCUGAAUUUUCCUGUCACGGGGUGCGUGGCGGAAAGAACCCAAUUGCAGGCAGGAACGACGGGGUUAACACAAAACUUUAAUAACAAAUGAAACACCCAUGAGGGGGAAAAACUAAACAGAGGCAAAUACAAUAAAACAAAAACUUCCCACGAGGGGGCAAGACAAAACAAGGUCCAAAUAAUAAGAAUAAUAUAAAUAACGAAUACAAACGCUAGACUGGUAACACGAGCACAGGAACAAGAGCACGGACAUGGAACACGUACAUACACAAUCCAAGAGCACAGGACAAAGAAACAUGAGGGCAUUUUAAAGGCAAGACAAACGAGGGAUAAUGACACAGGGCAGGUGAGGGUAAUGGAACACGCCGGGAAGUAAUACGGGAAACGAGAGGGGCAGGGCCAAUGACAAGACACUGGAGAGAACGCAUAUUAUUGUCAAAAGGACAAUAAUAUGUUUCUCUCCACACAUAACCAAAGACCUUGUCAUGGCUCUGCCUCAGGACCAGGAAAUCCAAGACUAAAAGAAGCAGAACCAUGACAUUUCCGCAAGACCAGAUUCUAAAUACUCAACAACAGAUACUUCUACCACCUGAAUCCACUGGAGGUGGAUCAAAGUUUUUUUUACCACUUUUGAUUACGUGUUCGGUUGAUUUUUCUAUGUUAUUUUGUAUUGCAUGUUUGUUCUAUUAUUUCUGUGUUGCUCUUGUAGUUCUGAAGAGCUGAUAAAUGGAUUUUCAGUUAAUAGAUGAUGUAUACAUUCUGCGGUGAUAAGCAUUGACUUGUUAAAGAUAUAACAGGGUCAUAAAGAUGUUUAAAUAGGGUGUGAUUUUUAGGAGAGGAGGUUCAGUUUGUUGGUACAGGUGUCAGAAAUAAAAAAAACGUAUCUAAAUACUUGUUCAAGAAUUGUUUUGAUAAAGAAAGCUUGUAUUAAGUUGUUAUAAUUACUUAGAUUCAUCUUUUUGGAGUUUUGCCACAGCAAAAUAUGAAUACAAUAGUUAGUACAAUAGCUUUACUGUAGCUCAGUGGUAAGAGCAUGGUGCUAACAACGCCAAGGUUGUGGUUUCAAUCCCAGGGGAUUGCACAUACUCAGAAACAAAUGUGUAGGGUAAUGCGCAUAUACAUUUUGCUCAUGUGAGAGCCAACCCCUUUCUGAAGACACAUAGGGACGUUCUGCCCUGUUCCAAUGUAACUCUUAAAUCUGGACAGAGCAGGUGCUGGGACAGUAAAAUCAGUUCUGAGGCUGCUGAAGCACAAUGACAUCACAGGUGUCACGGACGGUUUUGUGGCUGGAGGCAUCAGCAGUCCGUGAACUAAAGGAUGGCAUCAAUUUCAAGAAAAAUCCAGAGGAUGGCAAAUGUUACAUCAUUUACAAAGAUAUAGAUAAAGCACGGGCAUGUAAAAACCAAUGCAAGCACCAGGGAGGACUUUUCAUUAAAGAUAUCGAGGACUUGUGUGGCAGAACAGUGCGUUGUACUAAACACUACUGGAAACUUGAUGUGUCCACCAUGGAGUAUGUCAACCCUCCUGACAGUUUUCUUCAAGAUGAACUCGGUAAGAAGAACAUGACAGGAACAAAAGAGGGAUGUUUCAUUGUCUAUGUUAACACCAUUAAGAAUUAAUGUGUUUAGCAGCCAAUCAAAAGAACAAGAUACAUGUACAGGAUGUAAUGCUUUCAUGUUGGUUUUCAGACUUAAACAGGUUUAGAACAAAUAAUUACUGAACACAAACACCUGGAUCAGUGCAUGCCUGUGUGAUAAAUCUGAAUAAAUGCUGUAGCUAUAUCCAAACUUAUGUAAUUGUGUAAUUUUAAAUAUAUACUCAAAUAAUAUAUGAAGAGUUUGGCUCCAAAAUGAGGUAACUCCGUUUUUAAAAAAAUUCAAAUAUCAUGUUUUUUUAUUUUGCAUUCCAAUUAAUAUCAAUCAAACUGCAGUUAGUUUGUUUUGAUUUAAAGCGACAACGAGCAACUUCUGCUCACUGU